rnacentral:lncRNA from 1 species
GUGCAGAUAUUUUAUGAGUACAGUUGCUCGAAGAUGGGUUACAUCGUACGUUUUUGGCAAGACAUUCUAUAUAUAUUCUUGCAUAUUAUUCACUUUACAGAAAAAAGCUAAUUAAAGCAAAUAAUUUUUCUUUGAGAUUUGUCCCAGUAGUGUGUACCCAACAAAAAUAAAAACUCCAUGUCCGAAAAUAUAUAGAUGGGAUGGGAUCGAUCAGAGAGAUGGUGCUUCUUGAGGAAUAUAUAAUGAUAGAUGGAUUAUUUGGGUGU